UUGUGGGAUAUAGGGUUGAUUUAACAUGUUGCUCUAACUGUGUUGGUUUCAUAUCGUUGUCAAAUUCUUGAAUGGUGUCAUAUCGUGGUAUUAGAUUCUUGAAUGAUGAUAAUCAAGUUCUGUGGUGGAAUUUGCGCGCGGUGGAUCAAAUAAGUAUCGAGGAAUUGAUUUUUUAGGAUGUGAUUUUGGAGAUGUGAUGUCUUGGGCAGUUCUGGCCUUGACAAAGGAAGGAAGAGUUGCUGAAUUAUUUCUGCCGGUCAGAGUAAUUCUCAAAAGAACAAAAGCAAAAAACAAAAUGAUUUUGAUCUCAGCAGUUGGGCGUGGGAGGUCCAAAUGUAUGCAAGCCCUAUCCAUAUCACCUCCAUAUAGUCGGAUCAGUAGGGUAUUAGACUACUAGGUGAAAGGAAAGCCAAACAUAUCUUAUAUAUGCUCCAGAUACUAUCGUGCACCAGAACUGAAAUUCGGAGCAACUGAGGACUCAACUGCAAUUGACAUCUGGUCUAGGAGUUGUGUUCUUGCUGAACUGCUGCUUGGACAACCUUUAUUCCCUGGUGAGAGCGGAGUCGACCAGCUUGUGGAGAUUAUCAAGUUGCUGAAUGAUCUGCAUGAUCUAUUGCUGACUAAUCUGCAUGAUCUGAUCUGAAUGAUCUGCAUGAUCUCUUGCUGACUGAUCUGCAUGAUCUGAUCUGCUGCUGACUGAUCUGCUGCUACCCUGCUGCUGCACUAGUGCAAUGUUGCUGGCUGCUGGAUUAUUGUUGUUGCUGCUGCUUGAUUAUUGUUGUUGUUGCUGCUGUAUUUUUUUUUUUUGCUGGUUGCUGCACUUGUGUGAAUGUUCUAACCGCCACAUUUUGUAUCUUUUACUUGAUGCAGGAACACCCUAGGUAUAGUGAAUAAUAAUCAAAUUGUGAAACGUGGAUACUAGUUAUGGGAGGAAAGAUAGGGAAAGAGAGCAUGGGACAAACAUGAGUUUUUGUCUUAGUGGUUCGCAGCAAGGAAAUGAACGCUUUAAAUCUAAAGGUUUUCAAAAUUCCAAGGGAGGGUCCCUUUACCAAAAAAGCGUUGGAUGAAGUUCGAGACAAGUGGGCUACUUACUUCAAUGAUUGUGAACUACCCUCAGUGUAAUAAAUAGAGCAGGCUUGUAGUUAUUCGUGACUCUUACAUUAUUUUGUUAUUUAUCGAUUUAAUUAAUUACAUUUGAAUUAAUUCGGUAAUAUUAUUGGAAAUUUGAAAUUUAUAUCAUUUUUGAGAAUGUCAAGCUGAUGUUUGAUGAAACAGAAA